GUUGAUUGUGUCUGUUAUGGGCUUAUGGCCGUUUGCUGUCAAAAUUUAAGCUAUCUUUUCUUCGAACAUUACCAAUGAAUUCAUAGGAGGAAACGUGUAUGAUGUAAGUGUCGUGCAGCCUACUGGCAUGAUAAAGGAACUAUUUUCUUUUACUGAAUGUGCCAUCGAAAUGAUGCAGGUUCUUAAACUCCAGGUUUCUAAAUUGGCAUGACAGACUUUAUGAGAAGUAAUGUCCUUUAAUUCAAGAAAGUCAACAAGGUCCCUUGUUUGCUAACCCAAUGGCUGCUACCCUUGAAUCUCCCUUUUUAAUUCCUUACACGGGCCCAUCUUUAUUUAAGGUAUUGCUUAUUCUGUUGCUACAAUAUUGUUUGAAUAUUAAAUUGCCAUUCAAGUUCAUUCUGCUUACAGGGUAAUCCUAC